rnacentral:tRNA from 1 species
GCCGAGGUGGCGGAAUAGGCAGACGCGCUAGGUUCAGGACCUAGUGGCCGCAAGGUCGUGUGGGUUCAAGUCCCGGCCUGGGCACCA